GCCGCAGUAGCUCAGCCUGGUUAGAGCGCCACGCUCAUAACGUGGAGGUCCCGAGCUCAAAUCUCGGCUGCGGCU
rnacentral:tRNA from 1 species